AUGAUCCUCAGUUGUCAGCUUCUUUGUAGUUUUCCUUUUGUCCUUAACCUUCCCAUAUUUUUAAGGUUAUUCAAUGUUUAUAAGAUAAACAAAGAUAAUCACAAUGGUAUGAUCACUCACCUAGAGCCAGACAUCCUAGAAUGUGAAGUCAAGUGGGCCUUAGAAAGCAUCACUUCGAACAAAGCUAGUGGAGGUGAUGGAAUUCCAGUUGAACUCUUUCAAAUCCUGGAAGAUGAUGCUGUGAAAGUGCUGCACUCAAUAUGUCAGCACAUUUGGAAAACUCAGCAGUGGCCACAGGACUGGAAAAGGUCAGUUUUCAUUCCAAUCCCAAAGAAAGGCAAUGCCAAAGAAUGCUCAAGUCACCACACAAUUGCACUCAUCGCACACACUAGUAAAGUCAUGCUCAAAGGUCUCCAAGCCAGGCUUCAGCAAUAUGUGAACCGUGAACUUCCAGAUGUUCAAGCUGGUUUUAGAAAAGGCAGAGGAAUCAGAGAUCAAAUUGCCAACAUCCGUUGGAUCAUGGAAAAAGAAAGAGAGUUCCAGAAAAACAUCUAUCUCUGCUUUAUUGACUAUGCCAAAGCCUUUGACUGUGUGGAUCACAAUAAACUGUGGACAAUUCUUCAAGAGAUGGGAAUACCAGACCACCUGACCUGCCUUUUGAGAAACCUAUAUGUGGGUGAGAAAGCAACAGUUAGAACUGGACAUGAAACAACAGGCUGGUUCCAAAUAGGAAAAGGAGUACAUCAAGGCUGUAUAUUGUCACCCUGCUUAUUUAACUUCUAUGCAGAGUACAUCAUGAGAAACGCUGGGCUGGAAGAAACACAAGCUAGAAUCAAGAUUGCUGGGAGAAAUAUCAAUAACCUCAGAUAUACAGAUGAGACCACCCUUACGGCAGAAAGUGAAGAGGAGCUAAAAAACCUCUUGAUGAGAAUGAAAGAGGAGAGUGAAAAAGUUGGCUUAAAACUCAACAUUCAGAAAAUGAAGAUUAUGGCAUCUGGUCCCAUCAUUUCAUGGGAAAUAGAUGGGGAAACAGUGGAAACAGUGUCAGACUUUAUUUUUUUGGCCUCCAGUAUCACUGCAGAUGGUGAUUGCAGCCAUGAAAUUAAAAGAUGCUUACUCCUUGGAAGGAAAGUUAUGACCAACCUAGACAGCAUAUUGAAAAGCAGAGACAUUACUUUGCCGACUAAGGUCCGUCUAGUCAAGGCUAUGGUUUUUCCAGUAGUCAUGUAUGGAUGUGAGAGUUGGACUGUGAAGAAAGCUGAGAACCAUAGAAUUGAUGCUUUUGAACUGUGGUGUUGGAGAAGACUCUUGAGAGUCCCUUGGACUGCAAGGAGAUCCAACCAGUCCAUUCUGAAGGAGAUCAAUCCUGGUUGUUCUUUGGAAGGAAUGAUGCUAAAGCUGAAACUCCAGUACUUUGGCCACCUCAUGUGA
rnacentral:lncRNA from 1 species